UACGUAGGAGGCAAGCGUUGUCCGGAAUUACUGGGCGUAAAGCGCGUGUAGGUGGUGGGACAAGUCUGCUGUGAAAGCGCCUGGCUUAACCGGGCGAGGUCGGCGGAAACUGUCGCACUCGAGGACGGUAGAGGGGGGUGGAAUUCCCGGUGUAGUGGUGGAAUGCGUAGAGAUCCGGAGGAACACCAGCGGCGAAGGCGGCUGCCUGGCUGGUACUGACGCUGCGGAGCGAAAGCGUGGGGAGCGAUCCGG
rnacentral:rRNA from 1 species